rnacentral:rRNA from 1 species
AUUGAACGCUGGCGGCAUGCCUUACACAUGCAAGUCGAACGGCAGCAUGGAAGAGCUUGCUCUUCUGAUGGCGAGUGGCGAACGGGUGAGUAAAGCAUCGGAACGUACCGUGUAAUGGGGGAUAACGUAGCGAAAGUUACGCUAAUACCGCAUACGACCUGAGGGUGAAAGCAGGGGAUCGCAAGACCUUGCGUUAUACGCGCGGCCGAUGUAAGAUUAGCCAGUUGGUGAGGUAAAGGCUCACCAAGGCGACGAUCUGUAGCGGGUCUGAGAGGAUGAUCCGCCACACUGGGACUGAGACACGGCCCAGACUCCUACGGGAGGCAGCAGUGGGGAAUUUUGGACAAUGGGGGCAACCCUGAUCCAGCCAUGCCGCGUGAGUGAAGAAGGCCUUCGGGUUGUAAAGCUCUUUCGGCCGGGAAGAAAUCGCACAGGCUAAUACUCUGUGUGGAUGACGGUACCGGCAUAAGAAGCACCGGCUAACUACGUGCCAGCCGCCGCCGUAA